rnacentral:rRNA from 1 species
AUUGAACGCUGGCGGCAGGCCUAACACAUGCAAGUCGAACGAGUUGAGGACGGGUGCGUAAUGUCUGGGAAACUGCCCGAUGGAGGGGGAUAACUACUGGAAACGGUAGCUAAUCCCGCAUACCAUCGGAUGUGCCCAGAGGGGAUUAGCUAGUCGGUGGGGUAACGGCUCACCUAGGCGACGAUCCCUAUCUGGUAUGAGAUGAUGACAAUCGACACUGGCACGGAGACACGGUUCAGACUCCUGCGGUAGGCAUGAGGGGGGAAUAUUGCACAAUGGGCGCAAGCCUGAUGCAGCCAUGCCGCUUGUAUGAAGAAGGCCUUCGGGUUGUAAAGUACUUUCAGCUGUGAGGCGUUACUCGAAGAAGAAGCACCGGCUAACUCCGUGCCAGCAGCCGCGGUAAUAC